UUUUUUUUUUUACGUACAAGUAUUUGAAAAAUAAUUAAAAACAUAUUUAUAAAAUAUUAAGGGACGAGUAAAAAUAAAAUUAAGACUCAUGACAUGUGGGGCCGACAACGGCGAUGAUUUUUGUCACCGGAAUAUGACAAACGUGGCGGUGGGUCCAAGCAACUUCUCUCUAUUUCUGAGACUGAAAUUGAUGGCUAAUUUAUUUCUGCUUGCAGAAUCAUCCAGAAUUUACGAUGGCUAAUUUAUUUCUGCUUGCAGAAUCAUCCAGAAUUUACAUUGGAUUUUGAUUUAUUGCGUGCAAUGUUUAUGCCUUAUUUUUUGUUUCAAAGAGCCCAACAGCAAAAUUUCAAUACUGAAUCGAUAAAUGAAA
rnacentral:lncRNA from 1 species